UACGGAGGGUGCAAGCGUUAUCCGGAUUCACUGGGUUUAAAUGGUGCGUAGGCGGGUUGGUAAGUCCGUGGUGAAAUCUCCGAGCUUAACUCGGAAACUGCCGUGGAUACUAUCAAUCUUGAAUGUCGUGGAGGUAAGCGGAAUAUGUCAUGUAGCGGUGAAAUGCUUAGAUAUGACAUAGAACACCAAUUGCGUAGGCAGCUUACUACACGAAUAUUGACGCUGAGGCACGAAAGCGUGGGGAGCAAACAGG
rnacentral:rRNA from 1 species